UACACGAUUAUAACAACAAAAUAUUGUACGAUGCUGUUUGAGAACGGACUGGACAUUGGACAAGACUUCAAAAAUCAAAAUUAAACCAGGAAAAUCAGUAUUCAGUAGUAGUAAAAGCUGUCUUGAGUCUUUGAAAAGCUCCCCUUGUUCGUUUUACUUUUGCCUUCGGUUGUGCUCGUUUGAGGAUAUUUUCUCGGUGACUCCAUAGUUUUCAAUUAAAGUCUUGCCUUCUUUUAAUUUUCUCUUUAGGCAGAUCUGAGAAAAGUAAGAAGUUGACCAUUAGUUUCUGUUCAUCUUUCUGAUGUGGCUGUUCAGCUGUUGCACGAAUCUGUUUCUCUUCCCGAUAUUGCUGUAUUCCGGUAAAAAAUAAAGUUUUCGGUGCCUUUUUCAUAACAUAAGCAUGUAGUAUCUUCCAAUUUAAUAUUUUCAUGUCAUUUAGUUCCAGUCUGCUAAUCAGCAUACUUUUUUUCGGUUGAUCGUACCAAGUUUCCUCGUAUGUUUUUUUUUUUUCCUCUUGAAAUUUUCUAUAGAUUUUCAUUAUUAGUUUUUUAACUUCUCUUUUUAAAGAUUUUUUUUAUUCCGGAAUCUAAUGAAUUCGUAAUAUUUUUUCUUUAAUUGAUGUGAUUCUGCUUAAAUUUAAGUCUAACUUUUUUAUUUUCUUUAAUGUGCCAAAUAUUUUCUUACUGGUUAACGUUAUUUCACCUAGAAACCUAUUCCGGCCACUCUGGAGGAUGCACUUCAGAUAGAAUAGAGGGUUUCUUAUCUCAAUGCACAAUUUUCUGUAUACCUUGGUGCUUUUACUGUUGCCAUGUAAACUUGAUUGCCAAUUUUUCGCAAUUAAUUUGGCCUUGCUAAUCCCAUCAUUAGUGCAGUUUUCCACCAAUGUCGCUGCUACAGCUUUUACUAGAGAACAGCCGAAGCCAAAGUACGUUUGGGAAUUUGCUGACUCCAGACGCUCCUAUCUCAGGUUAACACUUGGAGAAGAAGAGGACAAUCGAUUGCCAUCUCCUGUGUUCUGGUCUCCAGGCAUAGCAAUAAUUUAGCCACCAUGAUUUUUAAGGGAAAAAAUUUGCUAGGAGUUGGUGCUGGUUUUUACAGUUGUUGCUUUUCUUAUUUUAAGAUUAAUUCUGUUGCUACUGUCUUCACAGGGUCCUUUCCCACACGUCUUGUUGGAAAGCUCUUCAUGAUGAAGUUAACAUUCGCUUAGAAAUUUUAACCAAUUGUUUUUGUUCAAAGGUAGUUUAUAAACCCUAAAUAAAUGACUAAACAAAGGAGAUUUUUCAAACUAUGUAAUAGUACUCCCACGGUAACCUAACUUCUUUUCUGUCAAGUUCAUAAUGUUAUGACAACUAUUUUUGAACAAAAUUGGUCGUUCAGAAACAUCUCAAUGUUUUGAACGUUAAACGUGUUCGUUAAUCAUUCCCUACCCCGGACGAUUGGCUCGCUUUUCAGAUUUAAAGAUCACUUUGUGCUGUGAAGUUCUCCGGGGUAGGUCUAAGUCUUCGUGCCCCAAGUGGAACUCGAGGACUUAUGUUAGAACCACUCUAAACAACUCUUUCAUUCUGAUUCUAACAGUUUAGUGCGUUAAUAUUUGAUUGUGUAUUAUAGUUUGAAUUUAUUAAAUUUUAUUGUCAAU